rnacentral:piRNA from 1 species
UCCUUAUACACUAUAAUAAUAUUAGAAGGG